UAACGAGGUGGUCGGGGCCAGCAGCUCUUUUGUUGUUGUUUUUGGGCACUCUUCCAACCCUGUUAUUAGCCUGUGUUCGAGGGUAAUAAAGCCCGGUCCAUCCGGUUAAACUUCGGCCACUGUCUCCUCGUCAUUCAGCUACCUAGCCAGCCGUGCGGCAGAGCCGUAACGCUACAGUAUAUUUAAGAAGCACACACGGAGGCUAACCUAGCUUACCUUGACAAGGUCAAGGAGAACGCAAAGCCCCCUUUCCCCGAAACAGUAGCUAACCCCGGUACAGGGAAUGGAUGUAUGGGGCCAGUACCAGGCAGCAUGACGGAGACAACCGCAGGACAGAGAACACUACAGGCGUGCUUUCACUGGCGACCCGAUAGCUGCUGGUUUCUCAGACCCAACUGGCGCAGACCGGAGUUUCCAUCACGUCUGUAGUUGAGGAAGAUUGCGAGGGAGUAGCGGUCCUCAUACAGCUUUGUUCCUCGGAUGAUCCUCAGGUUCUCCAAAGGCAGUUCUUCACUCUUAGAAGCUAUGAGUCAAUCCAGCAGUGCACAAUCUCUGGUAAACUGUUGUCUGUUGACUGCCAAUAUUAUUUUUAUUGGUCAACAUUCUGUUGCUGCAAGACACUACUACUUGCAUACAGAGCCACGAACGGAUCAGCCCCAGCAUACAUCCAGGACAUGGUCAAACCCUAUACCCCAACCCGCCCA